CGCAGUUCUGCGCGGCCACCAGCCCGGCGCCGGAUAGGACUAGUGCUGCUAGCCCGAGAGCCAAGAUCGCCAUGGGCGACUUCGCCAUGUCGAAUCAAGGUCUGAUUGUUGAGGCUGUAGCAGCUGCUUGCUUACGAGGUAACUGUGCAUGGCAAGGCGCGGCGGCAAGCGGUUUAUAUAGACACAGCAAGUUUGAUCUUGCGGACGACUAUGGCGUCAAGGUUGGGCUAGAUCAAACCGACCGUCGGUCACAGAUUCACACGGUUCGUCGACUAUCAAGACUUUUCUUUGCAGGGGUCAUGUUUCAAAGCAUAAUCUGAUGCGUAGCCUGCACUUGCUGUCGCACUGUACGAGAGUUCGGCAGUUCAAGACCAAAUGCUCGUCGUGUUGAACGGGGAACUAAUUCCAGUCCCGGCGUGCUGCUCCCUCCAAGUUCCAUCUUUUUUCCACGUCGGUGCUUGGUAGCUAGUGCCGUUACCCUUCUGGUACGUGUAUUGUGCGUUUGUGCUCACUGCUUAGUAGUCAUUUCUUCUCUCUGCGCGGCCAGGAGUGAGUUACGCAGAAAACAGAAGCUUCACAGAAAGCGCGAGUUUAUUGAUACCCAGCAAGACAGCACAAAACAGCUUGAUCAGUCUAGAAAGGAAGACUCUUCAUGGUCAGUCCACUGUGGAAAUGCUGGCUCAUUCAACGCCUAAAGUAGGUGCUUGUUACUGUCAAAGAUUGCUAAGAGCAUCUACACCCAUAAAUCGCAAAAUCCCUCCCCGGACGCGUCCGCAGAUAAUGAACGAUCAACACACACAAAAUCAUUUCCACAAUCAGAUACCCCAUUUACAAAUAAUCAACUCCAUACGAUCACAUGCAACAUAAAACUAUUUUGUCGGUGACUGUCCUUGUUGUUCCAGCCAUGUCUAUGUCCGGCAGCCGGUUGCGCCCUUCGGAGUGAAGGGGCGGUCGCCGGCGAGGUAGAGUAGGCAUGGGACACGCACCAACGUCUCUCAUGCCCUACUCUUCCUCGUCGGAUCCCAGAGCCUGCACAUUGCCGGUGGGCGUGAGAUUGACGAUGGAUCCGUCGUGGUUGGAAGCCGACACGUCCACCACGACGGUUGUGGUGCGAGGGAUCACCGGUCACCGUUGUGGCGCCAGAGAGGCGACUCUGCCUCGUCGGCGUCUGUCGUGAGGACUGCCGUGGUCUCUCGCUCGCUGCCUCGCACGACGAGCACGCCGCGCUAUAUUUUCAUCAGACAUGAAGUGCUUGUGCACCUUCGCCUUGGUGCGUCAACGAAGCGGUUGUGCAUCCGCCACGACGUUCGGACGCUAGACAGACCGCUCUGCCUCCGGCAAGGCAGCGACCACGCGCCUCGCGCCGGAUCCAUGCACCAUUUGGGAGGACGCAAUGGGUUCUCGCACGGAUGGAGUCCGUCACUAUUGGGCAGGCUUCUCCGGGGGGCGGCGGAGCGCAAUGCGGACAACCAUCUCCUCCUCGGGGCCGCGUGGGACAAGUUCCGGUCAACAGAUCAGGAGGUGUAGGACUCACAUCAGCUACCUGCCAUGCCGAAGAAGGCCAGAGAUCACCAGAAAAGGGAGCUUGGGAGGGGAAUGGAGGGGGAAUGCGUCUAGGGUUUCGUCUGAAGUGCGGAUCAGGUUCAAUAUAUGUGGGGUCGGGUGGCCACAGUCGGACUGAUCCGAGGUGGUGGGUGCGUUUGUAUGUCGCAUAUCCGUCCUAAAUAUGGGCAGGAUACGAGGGUUGCGUGUUAGUCUGGGCUUUUGGGACGGAUUUGCCAUGUCUGGUUUUGUGGCAAUUUUGCGUGCAACAAGAGUUCGGGCAGCCCACCUGGUCGUUUGGAUUGGAUAUAUAUGGGGUCCGGUUGUAGAUGCUCUAACUAUGAGAAGACAUGUUUCUCAUGUUGCUAUCAUAAACAAGAGUGUUGUAUUUUUUUUUUGAAAAGUAAUCCAUUAUAUUAAUUAAAAGUAAUAGUUUUAUAAUUGUUUGUUCCAGGCUUACAACAGUCACCACGUAGGGUGAAACAGGAAUUACAAGUAAACCCGAGUAAUAAAAGUUAGUCCAUGAAAAUUAUAUAAAAGUCCUUCCCUCGAAAAAAAUUAUAUAAAAAAUGCACCAAAACCAUAUAAAACUAUUGUAAACAUGACAUGAAUACUUCAGAAAUUAGAUACGUUGAAGACGUAUCAAGUCACACCCAGUAUGUGCAAAAUCCUGGCUCGCUUUUCUUUCUAUCCUAUCAAAAAGUUCAAGCAAACCGAGUGGAUUUAAACAAUUUUUCCUCUUUCCAACUUAGUCGCAGCCUGUCUGCCUAGAUGGUCACGAGAGAGUUCGUUAACAAGAUUCAAUCGGACAAAGAGCCAAUUAUAAGGGAGUCGAAGAAAAGUAAUCCAAACUAACAAUUUAACUUGAUCCGAUUCAAAGUUUUUAAAGCAAAGACGAAAAGUAUACUUUUCGUUCUUAACUCUUCGCGAAGUCUAGAUUUAGUCCCUCAACUUUAAAACCGGACAACUUACGCUCCCAACUUUUAAAACCAGACAAGUUCAGUCCCUUGUUUGCGCAGACCCGGUAUAGCUGCUGACUCAGCAUGGUUUUGACCGGCCUUCAUCCACGUGGCAGUAUUUCUCCCUCCUAUCUUCUUCCUUUUCAUAUUGGCUUAUUGAGAUACUUCAUCGAACACCUUGCAUGCACUGGGUUCCACGGCCAGGCCACGGAGGAUGCACGCAAGCCACGCGCGGUGGAGCUACCUCGUGCUCGUCCUCGACUUCCUCUUCUCCACUGCCUGGGAGCACGUGGUCGGGGGUGCACGGGCGAGGGAACCCAGUGCAGGGGCGGCGACGGGGAGAAGCUCAAGAGCGUGUCGGCCACCUCCAUCUGGCGCACAGUAGCAGCGGGACGAGGCAGCACCACGGGCAUACUGGGCGGGGUCGCGGCGCUCCCGUGGAGCCUCUCCAAGGCGACGGUGGUGGGCGUGGUGCGGCUGCUGGUGGACAAGCUGGUGCGCCGGCGUGCGUGUGAACUAGCGAAGCAGCACGAGCAGCUCUGUGUCCGCGCGGGAACACACCAGCGAUCAUGCUGUUGGACACGGCGUCACGAACGGACAUCGGCCAGAGCGUACCCCUGCGGACCAGCGCACAUGGCGCACCACCAUGCAGGAAGCCAGGAGACUCUGCUGUAGAGAUGCUGCUUGGCUGGUGCGUCGCGUACGCGUAGCCGGCUCGUGCACGGCGUUGGUGUACGCGGAUUGGUGAGCCAGCAGGCUAACGCAGGACGUGCAAGCAGCCAUCCACAUAUGUGCGUUGGUGUAUACCUGUGCACAUAGCGUGGUGCCACAGUGCAAUGCAUGAAGCUGUGUGGUGCAACGAAGCUGGAUGGAGGCGUGGUUGAUGGAGGAGUCCCGAUCAAAUCAGGCAACAACGGCUGGUGGACGACGGGCAUUUUCCUCGGACGCCGCGUGCCGAGCCAAACAGCCAUAUCGCCCGGUUGUUGCGGCCAGCGCUCCGUUGGUGCGGCCAGCGAUGCCGAGCUGCGCUGCAUCCUGGGGAGUUACGACCAACACGGGGGAGAGCAUGACGGAGAUGUUGAUGCUGAGCUGCACUGUCCAGAGCCGUGGCUUUCUUUUGGCCUAAGCGAAGCAGCACGCUGGCGCACACACGGUAUGGCGCACGUGCAUGAGCAACGUGAGCACCGGCGGGAGUAGCCACCGCUGUUUGGUCGUGGACGGCGCAUAUAAUGCGUGCUAGGUGUUUGAUGAAAUGCCUUAGUAAGCCAUUGUGAGGAGGAAGAAGGAAGGAGAGAGAUAGACUGCCACGUGGACAAAGACAGGUCAAAACCACAUUGAGUUAGCAAUGAUACCGGGUUAGGCGAGACUAGGGACUAAACUUAACUGGUUUCAAAAGUUGAGGAUGUAAGUUGUUCGAUUUUAAAGUUGAGGGACUAAAUUUAAACUUUACCAAAAGUUAAGGGACGAAAAGUAUACUUUUCUCUAAAGCAAAAUAACUAGGAGUUUUCGAGUCUCGCUGGUCAAUCAGACUUAAAGUUUCUUACAAAUUUCACUCAGCAUUCCAAGGAAAAUUUAACACCUAAGUUUUUCACUCGUUGCCUUUUCCUUUUUCCUUUUCGGCCUCGGCCUUCAGGGUGUCUGGCACUCUGACUGGAUCAAUGAAAGUAUCCAAAUCAAUGAAAUCGGGAAUCUGGCUUGCAGCUUCGAUAAAGGUCUCCAAGUGGUCUUCAAAGUUUUGGCCCUCUGUAUUCCCAGAUCCAACUGCUUGAAAUUUCUUCUCAUUGAUCUUAGGAAUGUGAGAGUGAGAGCAAGGGCAACAUCAGGUCCAUGAUGUGCAACGCAUUUCUUCCAUUGUGUCACUCGGUCUCACACUUGCGCAAGUUGGGAUAGGCAGGCUUCUAGUUCUCCAUCAAGUUCUUCCCCAGGGCGCAUGUCUGCAUUGAUUUCCUUCAUGGAUUCCUUCACUCCGGCUACAUGGUCCCUUGCCGCUUCAGCAUGCUCCUCUAGCCAGAUGAAAAACUCUGCUGCCGAGUGGAUGCCCAUGGGGUCUCCUUGAUGUCCAUCCCGUAUGCUUCAAGUUCUGGGUGAACCUUAUGCGCCUCCUCACUUGGAUCAGAACAAAAUUCUGCACAAGUGAAGGUUAGUGACAAUGAGUAAAAAGAGGUCAGUUUGAAUGUCACUCGGCAGGAAGACAAUCAUUACUUCAAGUUUCUGCUCAAUUUUCUGGUUAACGUCAUCUAGCUUUUUUUUGGUAAUGGAGGUAUACCCCCGGCCUCUGCAUCAUAAUGAUGCAUGCGGCCAUUUUAUUAAAAAUGCAGGAAGUAUCAUCAUAAAGGUCUUAUAGCUCACAAACAGAGCAAAGUCAUAGCACAAAGAUCUGAAAAAAAUAAAGGGCCUCAACCGAUACGGUGAUAAUAAGGACAAGCUCUCUAGCCCUCUAUCCUAUUAUGUGAACGUCAUCCGAACCGGUUAAAUAUAGGCCGAGCCACCAUCUCCCAUUGGUUGCACCCAGUAAGCAAAGGCUCCCUGGAGUCUAUAGGAGUGAGUAAAGACUACGUACGGAUCCAAGAUGUAACGUCAUCUAGCUGGUUCACAAAGAAAGUUUAAGCUUCACCAUUACGGUGACUGAGUUCACCAAGAUCCUUCUCAUACUGCAUCUAAUCUUCUCCAUGAUAUCCGACAGUUGCAAAUAUUUUAUGUGCCAGUCUGUGUAUGACCAUCAAACUGUUUUUGCAGCUCAUCAACCACUUUUCGGAGAUGGUCAUUGAGUUAUUUGACUUCUUGGAAUUCAUUCAAACUCGCAUAUGCUUUUCUAAUCUUUUCUCGGGCUUCUUCCCAAGAUUUGGCAUGCUCAACAUAUUUUUCCUCCAAGGCUUUCUUCACAGAUUCUAGAGAGAUGCAGUUCCUUAGUCGUUUAGUUAAAAGAACGUUUCAGACAUACAUUUAUUGGAAUGAGUCUUGUUCGGGAUCAGGCGAAAGGAAAAUAACAAGUUCACUUAGAUAAUAAAGAUUACCUCCCAUGGCAGUUUCUUUUUUUCUAGCAGCUUGGUAUUGCCCUUCUCGUUCUCGGGUUCCUGGCGCACCUCUUCCAUCUCCCUUUGCAGCUCACAUACUUGGAUCCUAACUUGCAAGAUUUCUAUUCAAAGUCAACAACCAUUUAAGUUAUUCCUCUCGGGUGACAUAUAAUCUGAGUGAAGCCAUGGAUCUAAAGCAAUUAAUCUAGAUCUAUGAAAGCCUUAGAGGACAGAAAUUUGAAAUUGUGUGUUCUCUUUGAUACUUAUUCAGAAUUGACUGGAAUUUGAACAAUAGACUACUAUGAAUAUACUUGAUUUUCUGUAAUGUUUUCAGAUUUUUUUUUGGGCAGUACAAAUUUUCGUCCAAAAUUUAAACAAAUCUGUACAGAAAUUUGAAAUCCCGUUUUCUCUUUGAUCCUUGCUUAGAAUUGGAUUAAAUUUGAACAGUGGACUUCUGUGAACGUACUCGAUUUUCUGUAAUUUUUUAAGAUUUUUCUGGGCAUGUUGAUUUUUGAACAAAAUUUGAAUUUUUUGGGCAUUCAAACAAGAUUGCAUGGGCUGCUAACAUUUUGUUUUUUGUUUAGGGGUAUUUUGGACCUUUCCACCCUCUUAUUUCUAUCAUACCGUAAAGAUAUAUCAUCAAGUAAGUUUGGGGCAUUUUAUCUAGAGGCAUAGCAAAGAUGGGGCAUUUUAUCAAUUGCAAUAUAAGAUGGGGCAUUUUGGCUGGGGCAGAGCAAAGGUAGGGCAAAAUCUCAAGUAAAAAUAUAAACUCAAUGGAAUGGCACAAGAGCAAAAGCAGCCAGGUCAAGAAGGAAGCCCAACAAGAAAAGCCCAUGAUAAUAGAGGCUAGACUGACUCACUCCCUCUCAUAGUCCACCACGGAUCCAUGGACCAAAGGUUACCAAUCCUACCCCUCCCAACUACCAUCUCAAUCUAGAAGAGGUUGCAUCUUUUGUGGAUGCUGACCGCUAUGUUUGGCUUGGUGAUUUACUGUAUUUUGUUUGUAUGCCUUGAAACAUUUUGCAUGAAUAAACAUACUUUGUUCCACUAAAACAAACCUACCAUCCCAAGGGAAGCCUUGGUCAUUUGUCAAGAACCCAUGUCCCCUAUAAAGGCCACAAGGGCCUGUAACUCACUCACUAUNNNNNNNNNNNNNNNNNNNNNNNNNNNNNNNNNNNNNNNNNNNNNNNNNNNNNNNNNNNNNNNNNNNNNNNNNNNNNNNNNNNNNNNNNNNNNNNNNNNNNNNNNNNNNNNNNNNNNNNNNNNNNNNNNNNNNNNNNNNNNNNNNNNNNNNNNNNNNNNNNNNNNNNNNNNNNNNNNNNNNNNNNNNNNNNNNNNNNNNNNNNNNNNNNNNNNNNNNNNNNNNNNNNNNNNNNNNNNNNNNNNNNNNNNNNNNNNNNNNNNNNNNNNNNNNNNNNNNNNNNNNNAGAGAAGUUUAGAGAGCAUGCAUGUCGAGUAGCCUCGUUUGACUCGGGCCUACCACUGAACCUCUCUCGACGCCUUAUUAACAUAGGACCAUGUCACGCUUCGUCGAGUCGACUGCACCUAUUUAUAAAAUAUUGAUGACUUAAUCUUAUCAUGUAUGACAAACUUCACUAUAAGGUCAUUGUACAGACCCCCAAUUAAAAUAUUCAUUAGGCUUGCUAGACUAAUGAUAUCCGUAAUAAUCUUGAUUUUGACCAUGUUGAUAAAACACCCCUAAUCACCAUGUUGUUUUCCCUACAACAACAAUAAAAUAUUGGAAAUCAUUUAUAUGAAAUUGUUAAAAUCAUUGUACUAAAAUAAUUGUAAUUUCUGGAGUAGAAUAUUUUUAAGCAGUUUUAUGAAAUAGUUAAAUUGAUCUUUUUUAGUAGUGCAAAACACUUUUUUGAAAUAAUUUAAAUAUCUGGAAUAAUGAAAUAUUUGAUAUCACUUUCUGAAGUAAAAAUAAUAAUUCAUGAAUACACAUGCAUUUGUGUAUCUUUGCAUUGAUAGGUAGAAAAGGUACAACAAAUGGAGGGGGCAUUACUACUCGGCGUGAACAAUGAACUGCGCGGCUAUUACCAUGAGCAGAACAGAGCAAAUGGGUUGCUCAGCCCCGAAACGAAGGGAAAACCAAGGAAAGAAUCAAAAACUAUGAAUAGUUAAAGUAGUGAAAAAUAACUUUGCUGAAAUAAGUAGAAUCACUUCUCCGAAAUAAUAAAAAAACUCUGGGAUAAUGAAACAUUGGCAGCAUUUGGAUGCUGUCAAGAAAUGUUUAUUUAUUACGUUUAUUUAUAUUACCGAUAUAUGAAUACAGAAAUCCAAAUUACAUAUACAGAAUAUAUAGAUGAUCCCAGAAUACACAGGGAGGCAGAGCUGUAAGUAGGAGCAUCGUCUGAAAAAAUGUUUUUGCGCGUCGAUCAAGAAUCUAGCAAGUGAGGUUGUUCCCCGGGUCGACCCCGAACUGCUUGCAGUACUCCACGUAGUAGUUCGCCCGCGCGUUCAUCGCCGGCGCGUUCCCGCCGUUGCACUCGCCACUGUUGAUUUUCCUGGUGGUCUCGCCGAACCCCUGCGGCACGACCUGAUGCACGUUGGUCAUCCAGAACCAGAACGCCGCCUGGAACGUCAACGCCGGGUCCUGCGCCACCUUCUCCGGGUUGUCGAGCCCGUUGAAGCCGAGCUUCUGCCCCGCCGCCCCGUAGUUGUAGUUCCACGUCAGCUGCAGCGGCCCGCGCCCGUAGUACGCCCUCCCCGAGGUACACGGCCACAGCGGGUAAUUCGUGUCGCAGUAGUUCUGGCUCGCCCCGUCCUUCUCCUCGAUGUAGCACAUGUCUGUACACAAGUAACAAGUUACAUCGACAGCUUAAUUAUGGAGAGCUAAUGAAAGCUUAAACUCGUCUAGUGUUGGUAUAUGAGUGCUUUCGUUUAGCUUACAUCCAGUCUCGUGGGUGAAAUGGGCGAAGAAGGCGGCUAUCUCCCUCUUGCCGUCGUCGCUGGUGCCGCCUUCCCCGAAGUCGGGGUUCGCCUGGGCGCCGUCCAGGAAAAACUGGCGCGUGUAAAAGCUCUUGCCGGGGCACCCGUCGGCGGCGGCCCGGGACUUGAUCCCGUCGAAGAACGCGUCGGUGACGACGCUCUCCACGGGAUCGCCGCCUGCCAGUCCGGCGCCAGAUAGGACUACUGCUGCUAGCCCGAGAGCCAGGAUCGCCAUGGGCGACUUCGCCAUGUCGAAUCAACAAUCAAGGUUUGCUUGUUGAGGCCCUAGUAGCUGCUUGCUUACGAUGUGACUGUGCAUGGCAAGGCGCGGUGGCAAGCGGUUUAUAUAGACACAGCAAGUUUGAUCUUGCGGACGACUAUGGCGUCAAGGUUGGGCUAG
rnacentral:lncRNA from 1 species